GACUCCGUCAGAUCAGAUCUGGUCCUUUUGGGCAGAUCUUUCGUCCCGAUAACUUCGUUUUCGGUCAGUCUGGUGCUGGGAACAACUGGGCCAAGGGUCAUUACACCGAGGGAGCUGAGCUCAUUGAUUCCGUUCUUGACGUCGUAAGAAAAGAAGCUGAGAAUUGUGAUUGUUUACAGGGAUUUCAAGUUUGUCAUUCUUUGGGAGGAGGUACUGGAUCUGGAAUGUGAACCCUUCUUAUUUCCAAGAUUAGGGAGGAGUAUCCAGAUCGCAUGAUGUUGACGUUUUCAGUCUUCCCUUCUCCUAUGGUGUCUGAUACAGUUGUUGAACCAUACAAUGCUACCCUUUCUGUUCAUCAGCUUGUUGAGAAUGCUGAUGAAUGCGUGGUGUUGGACAAUGAAGCUCUCUACGACAUCUGCUUCCACACCCUCAAGCUUGCCACUCCAACUUUUGGUGAUCUUAACCACCCAUCUCUGCUACCAUGAGUGGUGUCACAUGCUGUCUAAGGUUCCCUGGACAGCUGAACUCUGAUCUCUGUAAGCUGGCUGUCAAUCUUAUUCCCUUCCCUCGACUACACUUCUUCAUGGUUGGAUUUGCACCCUUGACAUCCAGAGGAUCACAGCAGUAUCGGAACCUGACAGUUCCUGAGCUGACUCAGCAGAUGUGGGAUGCCAAAAACAUGAUGUGUGCUGCUGCCUUACUGCUUCUGCAAUGUUCCGGGCGGGGGUAAGAUGAGCACUAAAGAGGUUGAUGAACAAAUGAUCAAUGUCCAGAAUAAGAAUUCAUCAUACUUUGUUGAGUGGAUUCCUAACAACGUGAAGUCUAGCGUGUGUGACAUCCCACCUAAGGGUCUAAAAAUGGCAUCCACUUUCAUCAGAAAUUCAACUUCUAUUCAGGAGAUGUUUAGGAGGGUUAACGAGCAGUUUACAGCAAUGUUCAGGAGGAAAGCUUUCUUGCAUUGGUACACUGGCGAGGGAAUGGAUGAGAUGGAGUUUACUGAAGCAGAGAGUAACAUGAAUGAUUUAGUUGCAGAGUAUCAGCAAUACCAGGACGCAACCGCAAACGAUGAGUACGAGGAAGGAGAGGAAGAAGAGGAAUUUGAUGAUUGAGUUCUG